rnacentral:rRNA from 1 species
CACGUAGGUGGCAAGCGUUGUCCGGAAUUAUUGGGCGUAAAGCGCGCGCAGGCGGUCCUUUAAGUCUGAUGUGAAAGCCCACGGCUCAACCGUGGAGGGUCAUUGGAAACUGGGGGACUUGAGUGCAGAAGAGGAGAGUGGAAUUCCACGUGUAGCGGUGAAAUGCGUAGAGAUGUGGAGGAACACCAGUGGCGAAGGCGACUCUCUGGUCUGUAACUGACGCUGAGGCGCGAAAGCGUGGGGAGCAAACAGG